UACAGAGGUCUCAAGCGUUGUUCGGAUUCAUUGGGCGUAAAGGGCGCGUAGGCGGCUUUAUAAGUCGGGGGUGAAAGCCUGUGGCUCAACCACAGAAUUGCCUUCGAUACUGUAGAGCUUGAGACCGGAAGAGGUAAGUGGAACUGCGAGUGUAGAGGUGAAAUUCGUAGAUAUUCGCAAGAACACCAGUGGCGAAGGCGGCUUACUGGUCCGGUUCUGACGCUGAGGCGCGAAAGCGUGGGGAGCAAACAGG
rnacentral:rRNA from 1 species